GAGAGUUUGAUCCUGGCUCAGGAUGAACGCUAGCGGGAGGCCUAACACAUGCAAGUCGAGGGGUAACAUUGUCUUCGGACAGAUGACGACCGGCGCACGGGUGCGUAACGCGUAUGCAACCUACCUCUAACAGGGAGAUAGCCCAGAGAAAUUUGGAUUAAUACCCCAUAGUAUUAUAAUAUCGCAUGAUAUAAUAAUUAAAGAUUUAUCGGUUAGAGAUGGGCAUGCGUGACAUUAGCUAGAUGGAGAGGUAACGGCUCCCCAUGGCAACGAUGUCUAGGGGUUCUGAGAGGAUGAUCCCCCACACUGGUACUGAGACACGGACCAGACUCCUACGGGAGGCAGCAGUGAGGAAUAUUGGUCAAUGGGCGCAAGCCUGAACCAGCCAUCCCGCGUGAAGGAAGAAGGUUCUAUGGAUUGUAAACUUCUUUUAUAUACCAAGAAUAGUUUCUACGUGUAGGAAUAUGACGGUAGUAUAUGAAUAAGCAUCGGCUAACUCCGUGCCAGCAGCCGCGGUAAUACGGAGGAUGCGAGCGUUAUCCGGAUUCAUUGGGUUUAAAGGGUACGUAGGCGGUUAUUUAAGUCAGUGGUGAAAGUUUGCGGCUCAACCGUAAAAUUGCCAUUGAUACUGGAUGACUUGAGUAUAGUUGAGGUAGGCGGAAUUUGUAGUGUAGCGGUGAAAUGCUUAGAUAUUACAAGGAACUCCGAUUGCGAAGGCAGCUUACUAAACUAUAACUGACGCUGAUGUACGAAAGCGUGGGUAGCGAACAGGCUUAGAUACCCUGGUAGUCCACGCCGUAAACGAUGCUCACUCGGUGUAUGCGAUAUAUAGUAUGCGCCCAAGCGAAAGUAUUAAGUGAGCCACCUGGGGAGUACGCCGGCAACGGUGAAACUCAAAGGAAUUGACGGGGGCCCGCACAAGCGGAGGAACAUGUGGUUUAAUUCGAUGAUACGCGAGGAACCUUACCUGGGCUUAAAUGUAUGUUGACAGGACUAGAGAUAGUUUUUUCUUCGGACAAUAUACAAGGUGCUGCAUGGUUGUCGUCAGCUCGUGCCGUGAGGUGUCGGGUUAAGUCCCAUAACGAGCGCAACCCCUAUCGUUAGUUACCAUCAGGUCAUGCUGGGGACUCUAGCGAGACUGCCACCGUAAGGUGAGAGGAAGGUGGGGAUGACGUCAAAUCAGCACGGCCCUUAUGUCCAGGGCUACACACGUACUACAAUGGUGGGGACAGAGGGUCGCGAAGCCGCGAGGUGGAGCCAAUCCCAGAAACCCCAUCCUAGUCCGGAUCGGAGUCUGCAACUCGACUCCGUGAAGUCGGAAUCGCUAGUAAUCGCGGAUCAGCAUUGCCGCGGUGAAUACGUUCCCGGGCCUUGUACACACCGCCCGUCACACCAUGGGAGUGGGUUGCACCAGAAGCAGGUAGUCUAACCGCAAGGAGGACGCUUGCCACGGUGUGAUUCAUGACUGGGGUGAAGUCGUAACAAGGUAGCCGUAG
rnacentral:rRNA from 1 species